rnacentral:rRNA from 1 species
UCCCGUAGUUGGCGACGUGUGUUCAGUGAAAUCGAGUAGGGCGGGACACGUGAUAUCCUGUCUGAAUAUGGGGGGACCAUCCUCCAAGGCUAAAUACUACUGACUGACCGAUAGUGAACCAGUACCGGGAGGGAAAGGCGAAAAGAACCCCUGUGAGGGGAGUGAAAUAGAACCUGAAACCGUGUACGUACAAGCAGUAGGAGCA